rnacentral:rRNA from 1 species
GACGAACCGUGCGAACGUUAUUCGGAAUCACUGGGCUUAAAGCGCGUGUAGGCGGAUGGGGACGUCGGUUGCUGAAAGCCCCCGGCUCAACCGGGGAACGGGCGCCGAAACGCCCCGUCUGGAGGGACGUAGGGGGACCUGGAACUUCCGGUGGAGCGGUGAAAUGCGUUGAGAUCGGAAGGAACGCCCGUGGCGAAAGCGAGGUCCUGGACGUUUUCUGACGCUGAGACGCGAAAGCUAGGGUAGCGAACGGG